CAGCCGCCGCGGUAAUACCGGCGGCCCGAGUGGCGGUCACUAUUAUUGGGCUUAAAGCGUCCGUAGCCGGGUUGGGAAGUCCUCCGGGAAAUCUGGCCGCUUAACGGUCAGAAUGCCGGAGGAUACUCCCAGCCUAGGGAGCGGGGGAGGCCGAGGGGAUUCCCGGGGUAGGGGUGAAAUCCUAUAAUCCCGGGAGGACCACCUGUGGCGAAGGCGCUCGGCUGGAACGCGUCCGACGGGGAGGGACGAAGGCCAGGGGAGCAAACCGGAUUAGAUACCCGGGUAGUCCUGGCUGUAAACGAUGCGGACUUUGUGUCGGACAAGCUAUGAGCUUGUCCGGUGCCGGAGGGAAACCGUUAAGUCCGCCGCCUGGGGAGUACGGCCGCAAGGCUGAAACUUAAAGGAAUUGGCGGG
rnacentral:rRNA from 1 species